rnacentral:rRNA from 1 species
AGCCAUCCUUUAAAGAAAGCGUAACAGCUCACUGGUCAAGCGCUCCUGCGCGGAAAAUGUAACGGGGCUUAAGUGAUACACCGAAGCUGUGGGCUCGAAAGAGCGGUAGCGGAGCGUUCCGUAGGCCGAUGAAGGUGGACCCGCGAGGGCCGCUGGAGGUAUCGGAAGUGAGAAUGCUGACAUGAGUAGCGACAAAGAGGGUGAGAGACCCUCUCGCCGAAAGUCCAAGGGUUCCUGCGCAAUGCUAAUCAGCGCAGGGUUAGUCGGCCCCUAACGCGAGGCAGAAAUGCGUAGUGGAUGGGAAGCAGGUUAAUAUUCCUGCACCGACGGGUAGUGACGGAUUCUGGAAGUUGUCAGUCCUUAUCGGAUUGAAUUGGCAGCCAAGGAGUCCCUGGAAAUAGCUCCCGUAUUUGACCGUACCCCAAACCGACACAGG